rnacentral:rRNA from 1 species
AGGUGAUCCAACCGCAGGUUCCCCUACGGUUACCUUGUUACGACUUCACCCCAGUCAUGAAUCACAAAGUGGUAAGCGCCCUCCCGAAGGUUAAGCUACCUACUUCUUUUGCAACCCACUCCCAUGGUGUGACGGGCGGUGUGUACAAGGCCCGGGAACGUAUUCACCGUGGCAUUCUGAUCCACGAUUACUAGCGAUUCCGACUUCAUGGAGUCGAGUUGCAGACUCCAAUCCGGACUACGACGCACUUUAUGAGGUCCGCUUGCUCUCGCGAGGUCGCUUCUCUUUGUAUGCGCCAUUGUAGCACGUGUGUUGCCCUGGUCGUAAGGGCCAUGAUGACUUGACGUCAUCCCCACUUCCUCCAGUUUAUCACUGGCAGUCUCCUUUGAGUUCCCGGCCGGACCGCUGGCAACAAAGGAUAAGGGUUGCGCUCGUUGCGGGACUUAACCCAACAUUUCACAACACGAGCUGACGACAGCCAUGCAGCACCUGUCUCACGGUUCCCGAAGGCACAUUCUCAUCUCUGAAAACUUCCGUGGAUGUCAAGACCAGGUAAGGUUCUUCGCGUUGCAUCGAAUUAAACCACAUGCUCCACCGCUUGUGCGGGCCCCCGUCAAUUCAUUUGAGUUUUAACCUUGCGGCCGUACUCCCCAGGCGGUCGACUUAACGCGUUAGCUCCGGAAGCCACGCCUCAAGGGCACAACCUCCAAGUCGACAUCGUUUACGGCGUGGACUACCAGGGUAUCUAAUCCUGUUUGCUCCCCACGCUUUCGCACCUGAGCGUCAGUCUUCGUCCAGGGGGCCGCCUUCGCCACCGGUAUUCCUCCAGAUCUCUACGCAUUUCACCGCUACACCUGGAAUUCUACCCCCCUCUACGAGACUCAAGCUUGCCAGUAUCAGAUGCAGUUCCCAGGUUGAGCCCGGGGAUUUCACAUCUGACUUAACAAACCGCCUGCGUGCGCUUUACGCCCAGUAAUUCCGAUUAACGCUUGCACCCUCCGUAUUACCGCGGCUGCUGGCACGGAGUUAGCCGGUGCUUCUUCUGCGGGUAACGUCAAUGAGCAAAGGUAUUAACUUUACUCCCUUCCUCCCCGCUGAAAGUACUUUACAACCCGAAGGCCUUCUUCAUACACGCGGCAUGGCUGCAUCAGGCUUGCGCCCAUUGUGCAAUAUUCCCCACUGCUGCCUCCCGUAGGAGUCUGGACCGUGUCUCAGUUCCAGUGUGGCUGGUCAUCCUCUCAGACCAGCUAGGGAUCGUCGCCUUGGUGAGCCGUUACCCCACCAACAAGCUAAUCCCAUCUGGGCACAUCCGAUGGCAAGAGGCCCGAAGGUCCCCCUCUUUGGUCUUGCGACAUUAUGCGGUAUUAGCUACCGUCUCCAGUAGUUAUCCCCCUCCAUCAGGCAGUUUCCCAGACAUUACUCACCCGUCCGCCACUCGUCAGCAAAGAAGCAAGCUUCUUCCUGUUACCGUUCGACUUGCAUGUGUUAGGCCUGCCGCCAGCGUUCAAUCUGAGCCAUGAUCAAACUCU